CUGUAAUCUYCGUUGUUGAAGAGGAUCCAAUCCGRAGAGUUACUGUCAGGUAUUGACGUAUUUAUCCAGAAAGUUCACGCYUAUCUACCGUGUCAGKCAGUCCGCGGUAAUACGUAGGUGUCAAGCGUGUCCGGAUUUAUUGGGCGUAAAGCGAGCGUCAGGCGGUUUUUUAAGUCUGAUGUGAAAGCUUUCGGCUCAUCCGAAGAAGUKCAUCGGAAACUGGGAAACUUGAGUGCAGAAGAGGWCAGUGGAACUUCCAUGUGUAGCGGUGAAAUGCGUAGAUAUAUGGAAGAWCAYYCAGUGGCGAAGGCGGCUGUCUGGUCUGUAACUGACGCUGAGGCUCGAAAGUAUGGGUAGCAAACAGGAUUAGAUAYUCUGGUAGUCCAUAYCGUAAACGAUGAAUGCUAAGUGUUGGAGGGUUUCCGYUCUUCAGUGCUGCAGCUAACGCAUUAAGCAUUCYGCCUGGGGAGUACGGCCGCAAGGCUGAAACUCAAAGGAAUUGACGGGGGYYCGCAUAAGCGGUGGAGUAUGUGGUUUAAUUCGAAGCUACGCGAAGAWCCUUAYCAGGUCUUGACAUACUAUGCAAAUCUAAGAGAUUAGACGUUCCCUUCGGGGACAUGGAUACAGGUGGUGCAUGGUUGUCGUCAGCUCGUGUCGUGAGAUGUUGGGUUAAGUCCCGCAACGAGCGCAACCCUUAUUAUCAGUUGCCAGCAUUAAGUUGGGCACUCUGGUGAGACUGCCGGUGACAAACCGGAGGAAGGUGGGGAUGACGUCAAAUCAUCAUGCCCCUUAUGACCUGGGCUACACACGUGCUACAAUGGAUGGUACAACGAGUUGCGAACUCGCGAGAGUAAGCUAAUCUCUUAAAGCCAUUCUCAGUUCGGAUUGUAGGCUGCAACUCGCCUACAUGAAGUCGGAAUCGCUAGUAAUCGCGGAUCAGCAUGCCGCGGUGAAUACGUUCCCGGGCCUUGUACACACCGCCCGUCACACCAUGAGAGUUUGUAACWCCCWAAGUCKGUGGGGUAACYUUUUAGGAACUCWGCYUKCUUAAGGKKGGRRAUU
rnacentral:rRNA from 1 species